rnacentral:tRNA from 1 species
CUCGCCGGCGGCCGGGCGUAGGCUGGGCGCGUCCACGGUGCCGAGGCGGGGCCGCGCGACCGGCCGUCGGGUGCAACGCCCGACGCGGAGA